UACAGAGACUGCAAGCGUUAUUCGGAUUCACUGGGCGUAAAGGGUGCGCAGGCGGCCGUGUGUGUGAGGCGUGAAAGCCCGACGCUUAACGUCGGAAUUGCACCUCAAACUACAUGGCUAGAGCAUUGGAGAGGGUAGCGGAAUUCACGGUGUAGCAGUGAAAUGCGUAGAUAUCGUGAGGAACACCAGAGGCGAAGGCGGCUACCUGGACAAUUGCUGACGCUCAGGCACGAAAGCGUGGGGAGCAAAAGGG
rnacentral:rRNA from 1 species